CGACCGGGUGAGUAAGACGUAGACGACCGACCCUGAAGCGGGGGACAACAUGCCGAAAGGGAUGCUAAUACCGCAUAAUAUCUAGCGUAUCGAGCGCUAGAAGAAAGUAGCAAUACACUUUAGGGAGGGUCUGCGGCCCAUCAGGUAGUUGGCGGGGUAACGGCCCACCAAGCUAAUGACGGGUAGGGGGUGUGAGAGCAUGACCCCCCACACUGGCACUGAGAACGGGCCAG
rnacentral:rRNA from 1 species